rnacentral:rRNA from 1 species
GACGAGGGGUCCUAGCGUUGUUCGGAAUCAUUGGGCGUAAAGCGUAUGUAGGUGGCUUUGUAAGUCAGGUGUGAAAGCCCUGGGCUCAACCCAGGAAGUGCAUUUGAUACUGCGAAGCUUGAGUGCUGGAGAGGAUAGUAGAAUUCCUGGUGUAGUGGUGAAAUACGUAGAUAUCAGGAGGAAUACCGGUGGCGAAGGCGGCUAUCUGGCCAUGCACUGACACUGAGAUACGAAAGCGUGGGGAUCAAACAGG